rfam:Camelus ferus unplaced genomic scaffold scaffold370, whole genome shotgun sequence.
GAGGGUGUAGCUCAAGUGGUAGAGCGCAUGCUUAGCAUGAAGGAGGUCCUGGGUUCAAUCCCCAGUACCUCCU